GAACAUUGAGCCUUGAUGUGUAGGAUAGGUGGGAGGCUUUGAAGUGUGGACGCCAGUCUGCAUGGAGCCGACCUUGAAAUACCACCCUUUAAUGUUUGAUGUUCUAACGUGGACCCGUGAUCCGGGUUGCGGACAGUGUCUGGUGGGUAGUUUGACUGGGGCGGUCUCCUCCUAAAGAGUAACGGAGGAGCACGAAGGUUGGCUAAUCCUGGUCGGACAUCAGGAGGUUAGUGCAAUGGCAUAAGCCAGCUUGACUGCGAGCGUGACGGCGCGAGCAGGUGCGAAAGCAGGUCAUAGUGAUCCGGUGGUUCUGAAUGGAAGGGCCAUCGCUCAACGGAUAAAAGGUACUCCGGGGAUAACAGGCUGAUACCGCCCAAGAGUUCAUAUCGACGGCGGUGUUUGGCACCUCGAUGUCGGCUCAUCACAUCCUGGGGCUGAAGUAGGUCCCAAGGGUAUGGCUGUUCGCCAUUUAAAGUGGUACGCGAGCUGGGUUUAGAACGUCGUGAGACAGUUCGGUCCCUAUCUGCCGUGGGCGCUGGAGAACUGAGGGGGGCUGCUCCUAGUACGAGAGGACCGGAGUGGACGCAUCACUGGUGUUCGGGUUGUCAUGCCAAUGGCACUGCCCGGUAGCUAAAUGCGGAAGAGAUAAGUGCUGAAAGCAUCUAAGCACGAAACUUGCCCCGA
rnacentral:rRNA from 1 species